rnacentral:rRNA from 1 species
AGAGGAAGUAAAAGUCGUAACAAGGUUUCCGUAGGUGAACCUGCGGAAGGAUCAUUAUCGAGUCUUGAACGGGUUGUAGCUGGCUUCUCAAUGGAGGCAUGUGCACGCCUGGCUCAUCCACUCUCAACCUCUGUGCACCCUUUGUAGGCUUCGGUGGAUGCUGACGAAAGUCGGCGUGAAGCCGCUCCUACGUUAUUAUCACAAACAUCUCAGUCUCAGAAUGUAACUUGCAGAUAAUGCAUUAUAUACAACUUUCAGCAACGGAUCUCUUGGCUCUCGCAUCGAUGAAGAACGCAGCGAAAUGCGAUAAGUAAUGUGAAUUGCAGAAUUCAGUGAAUCAUCGAAUCUUUGAACGCACCUUGCGCUCCUUGGUAUUCCUCGGAGCAUGCCUGUUUGAGUAUCAUGGAAUUCUCAACUCUCAAGUUUUCUGACUUGACGAGCUUGGACUUGGAGGUUGUGCCGGCUCUUGCUAGUCGGCUCCUCUGAAAUGCAUUAGCGUGAAUCUUACUGAUCGCCUUCAGCGUGAUAAUUGUCUGCGCUGUGGACGUGACGUACUCGUGUGUUCAUGCUUACAGUCGUCUCUUGGAGACAACUUUAUAACUUCUGGUCUCAAAUCAGGUAGGACUACCCGCUGAACUUAAGCAUAUCAAU